GUGAGGAAUAUUGCGCAAUGGAGGCAACUCUGACGCAGCCAUGCCGCGUGCAGGAAGAAGGCGCUACGCGUUGUAAACUGCUUUUAACCGGGAAGAAACCCCAGGACGUGUCCUGGGUUGACGGUACCGGAGGAAUAAGCACCGGCUAACUUCGUGCCAGCAGCCGCGGUAAUACGAAGGGUGCAAGCGUUAUCCGGAUUCAUUGGGGUUAAAGGGUGCGUAGGCGGAGCGUUAAGUCAGUGGUGAAAUCCUGCAGCUUAACUGUAGACUUGCCAUUGAUACUGGCGCUCUUGAGUGCGCUUGAAGUGGGCGGAAUGUGCCGUGUAGCGGUGAAAUGCUUAGAUAUGGCACAGAACACCAAUUGCGAAGGCAGCUCACUAAGGCGAUACUGACGCUGAGGCACGAAAGCGUGGGGAUCGAACAGGAUUAGAUACCCUGGUAGUCC
rnacentral:rRNA from 1 species